GGGAAACUUACCAGGUCCAGACAUAGUAAGGAUUGACAGAUUGAUAGCUCUUUCUUGAUUUUAUGGGUGGUGGUGCAUGGCCGUUCUUAGUUCGUGGAGUGAUUUGUCUGCUUAAUUGCGUUAACGAACGAGACCUUAACCUGCUAAAUAGGAGCAUCUAUCUUCGGAUAAAUGCCUUUCUUCUUAGAGGGACUUUAUGCGUUUCAGCAUGAGGAAGUUUGAGGCUAAAA
rnacentral:rRNA from 1 species